GGUGAGGUGGCCGAGUGGUCGAAGGCGCACGCCUGGAAAGUGUGUAUACGGAAACGUAUCCAGGGUUCAAAUCCCUGCCUCACCGCCA
rnacentral:tRNA from 1 species